AAACAAGUAGGAUUUUCCUAUAAUAAGAAUAUCUUCAACUGGAAACUCCAUUUACAUGGAAUGCUUUUAUCUACAAAUGAAGUCAAACUAAUAUAUGAAUGGAAAUUCUAAUGUAGCCAUUGUAUAGCAUUAUUGAGGUGUAAGUAAUAAUCUUGAAUCUCCCCCGCGGCCUUUACUGAUAUACCAGUCGAGGGGAAAGAAAUGAGGGAUUAUAUCGUUAUCUCUGGUCCUUUGACAACAUGAUCAAUCGAAGAUUCUCUACAGAUUGACUUUGUUUAGCUUGGCAUGGGCUUGUUCUCCAAAAAUGAUCUGAAUAGAAUGAAAGCUUGACGAGGGCGAUGAAGAGGAACUUCAUGCCCUGCUCCUGUUAUAGUUACAAGGGUUAACCCUUUGUAUAUUUGGCUCCAUCCUCCAACCUUUUUAUUGUCAUACCAAGGGUACCAGUUUGUGAUAGUUGGGAGCUUCAAUGCAUCUAUAGAAUAUCGAGUUGCGGUUAAAGGAACAACUGAAUCAGUAUCGCCACUGAAUACCCAUAUCCUGAGACCAGCCGCUAUUAGCUCAUGGUAGAUGGGAAGCAUUGAUAAAGGAGAAUCGUCCCAGUAGUCUCCGACUAUAUCACUGCAUGUUUUCCAAGGAUAGGCAAUCUUAGUUACAUUAGCAUGGAAUGCCUUUUGUACCUCUGGGAGAUUAAAAUAAACAUCAGAGUACCUCUCGGUACAAGGAUCAUAUGCUCUGGACAUCCAUGGAUAAUGA
rnacentral:misc_RNA from 1 species